AACAAACGCUGGCGGCGUGCCUAAUACAUGCAAGUCGAACGGGGAAAGCUUUCGGGUGAGUACUAGUGGCGCACGGGUGAGUAACGCGUGGAUAAUCUGCCUUAGAGUGGGGGAUAACUAGUCGAAAGAUUAGCUAAUACCGCAUAAGACCACAAGAACUGCGGUUCAAGGGGUCAAAGGUUUUUCGCUCUAAGAUGAGUCCGCGUAAGAUUAGCUAGUUGGUAGGGUAACGGCCUACCAAGGCGACGAUCUUUAACUGGUCUGAGAGGAUGAGCAGUAACAGUGGAACUGAGACACGGUCCAGACUCCUACGGGAGGCAGCAGUAGGGAAUAUUGCACAAUGGAGGACACUCUGAUGCAGCGACGCCGCGUGAGUGAUGAAGGCCUUCGGGUCGUAAAGCUCUGUAGCAGGGGAAUAACACAAUGAAGGUACCCUGUAAGAAAGGAUCGGCUAACUUCGUGCCAGCCGCCGCCGUAA
rnacentral:rRNA from 1 species